rnacentral:rRNA from 1 species
GAUGAACGCUAGCGGCAGGCCUAACACAUGCAAGUCGAGGGGCAGCACAGAAACAGCAAUGUUUUGGUGGCGACCGGCGGACGGGAGCGUAACGCGUAUGCAAACUACCUUACACAGGGGGAUAACGGAUGGAAACGUCCACUAACACCCCAUAACAUCGGAAUCGGCAUCGGAUUCGUUUGAAAUCUCCGGAAGUGUAGGAUGGGCAUGCGUUGUAUUAGAUAGUUGGUGAGGUAACGGCUCACCAAGUCGACGAUACGUAGAGGGAAUGAGAGGCUAGCCACCCACAGUGGUGCUGAGACACGGACCAGCCUCCUACGGGAGGAACCAGUGCUGAAUAUGGGUCAAUGGGGGCAACCCUGAACCAGCCAUGCCGCGUGUAGGAAGACGGCUCUAUGAGUUGUAAACUGCUUUUACACAGGGAUAAAUCGGGGUACGCGUACCCCGUUGAAGGUACUGUGGGAAUAAGGAUCGGCUAACUCCGUGCCAGCCGCCGCCGUAA